rnacentral:rRNA from 1 species
CCUACGGGUGGCAGCAGUGAGGAAUAUUGGUCAAUGGGCGAGAGCCUGAACCAGCCAAGUCGCGUGAGGGAGUACUGCCCUAUGGGUUGUAAACCUCUUUUGUCGGGGAGCAAAAGCCGGACGUGUCCGGCUGUGAGAGUACCUGAAGAAAAAGCAUCGGCUAACUCCGUGCCAGCAGCCGCGGUAAUACGGAGGAUGCGAGCGUUAUCCGGAUUUAUUGGGUGUAAAGGGUGCGCAGGCGGAUUUUUAAGUCAGCGGUAAAAUCGUGGGGCUCAACCCCAUCCAGCCGUUGAAACUGGGGAUCUAGAGUGUGCGAGAGGUAUGCGGAAUGCGUGGUGUAGCGGUGAAAUGCAUAGAUAUCACGCAGAACCCCGAUUGCGAAGGCAGCAUACCGGUGCACAACUGACGCUCAGGCACGAAAGCGUGGGUAUCGAACAGGAUUAGAUACCCCAGUAGUC